rnacentral:rRNA from 1 species
UUCUUUGUACCGGCGAUGCUUCAUUCAAAUUUCUGCCCUAUCAACUUUUGAUGGUAGUGUAGUGGACUACCAUGGUUGUAACGGGUGACGGAGAAUUAGGGUUCGAUUCCGGAGAGGGAGCCUGAGAAAUGGCUACCACUUCCAAGGAAGGCAGCAGGCGCGCAAAUUACCCAAUUCCGAUACGGAGAGGUAGUGACAAUAAAUAACAAUACGGGUCCCGACAAGGGUCACGUAAUUGGAAUGAGUACAAUUUAAAUCCCUUAACAAGGAACAAUUCGAGGGCAAGUCUGGUGCCAGCAGCCGCGGUAAUUCCAGCUCCAAUAGCGUAUAUUAAAGUUGUUGCAGUUAAAAAGCUCGUAGUCUGACUUCGGGGCGUAGAGAGCCCGGUCCGCCGGGAUGGUGUGUACUGGCUUUCUUGCUCCUCCUUCCGGUUGCUACCCUCUGCUCUUAAGUGAGUGGGGGGGUCAGCUCCGGAUCAUUUACUUUGAAAAAAUUAGAGUGUUUAAAGCAGGCAUUUAUCGUGCGGUUGGAUAUAUUAGCAUGGGAUAAUAGAAUAGGAGUUCUCACCCUAUUUUGUUGGUUUUGAGGCGAGAACUAAUGAUUAAUAGAGAUAGUUGGGGGUAUUCAUAUUUAAUUGUCAGAGGUGAAAUUCUUGGAUUAAUUAAAGAUGAACUUCUGCGAAAGCAUCUACCAAGGAUGUUUUCAUUGAUCAAGAACGAAAGUUAGGGGAUCGAAGACGAUCAGAUACCGUCGUAGUCUUAACAGUAAACAAUGCCGACCAGGGAUUGGGAGACGUUACAUGGAUGACUCCCCCAGCACCUUGCGAGAAAUCAUAAGUUUUUGGGUUCCGGGGGGAGUAUGGUCGCAAGGCUGAAACUUAAAGGAAUUGACGGAAGGGCACCACCAGGAGUGGAGCCUGCGGCUUAAUUUGACCCAACACGGGAAAACUUACCAAGUCCAGACAUAAGAAGGAUUGACAGAUUGAGAGCUCUUUCUUGAUUCUAUGGGUGGUGGUGCAUGGCCGUUCUUAGUUGGUGGAGUGAUUUGUCUGGUUAAUUCCGUUAACGAACGAGACCUCAGCCUGCUAACUAGUUACGCUGGUCGUCUACUCGAGUGAACUGCCUGUAGCGGCAGGGUUUACUCCUUGUCGCAUCGGGUGGGGAUCUUUGAUGUGCCGGUGGAAAUACUUCUUAGAGGGACUAUUUGUAUCUAGCAAAUGGAAGUUUGAGGCAAUAACAGGUCUGUGAUGCCCUUAGAUGUUUUGGGAUGCACGCGCGCUACAAUGAUGAAGUCAACGAGUCUAACACCUUGGCCGGAAGGUCUGGGUAAUCUUUUGAAACUUCAUCGUAAUGGGGAUUGAUCUUUGUAAUUAUCGAUCAUUAACGAGGAAUUCCUAGUAAGCGUGGUUCAUCAAACCACGUUGAUUUCGUCCCUGCCCUUUGUACACACCGCCCGUCGCUCCUACCGAUUGAAUGAUCCGGUGAAAUCUCCGGAUUGGGGGGUCCAACUGUCGGGGCAACUCGGCAGUAACUCACCGAGAAGCUGAUUAAACCUUAUCAUUUAGAGGAAGGAGAAGUCGUAACAAGGUUUCCGUAGGUACCUGCGGAAA